rnacentral:misc_RNA from 1 species
AAGUCGUAACAAGGUUUCCGUAGGUGAACCUGCGGAAGGAUCAUUUCCGAAAAAACAAAACAAACUAUACCAACCCACAGUGUGCUUAGUUUUGGGUCCCUUUUUUUUUACUCUUUCAUGGUUUUAUACAAGGGGACGUGCGUGUGUGGCAACACAUGCGCUCUAUAACCUUGUAUAAUAUAUAUGCCGUGAGAGAGGCCUUGAUGAACUACCUCCAUGUUCUCUUAUUUUCCUAUGUGUACAUACAUGUGCAUAUACGAGAUAUGAGCGCAUCAGGUUGAUGUACCAUGAAGUGAUACUUUAAAACAGUAUACAUUAAAAAAAAUGAUACGACAACUUUUAACGGUGGAUCUCUUGGCUCGU